rnacentral:rRNA from 1 species
UUUUUGGAGAGUUUGAUCCUGGCUCAGGACGAACGCUGGCGGCGUGCCUAAUACAUGCAAGUCGAGCGGACUUGACUGGAGCUUGCUCCAGUUCAAGUUAGCGGCGGACGGGUGAG